rnacentral:snRNA from 1 species
AGACUACCAAUCAGGAGCCGUAACUGUCUACAGUCACCGUAGACUUUGCACUACCGUAGACACAAAGCCUGCGAAUUCCCCAAAUGUGGGAAUCUCGACUGCAUAAUUUCUGGUAGUGGGGGACUGCGUUCGCGCUCUCCCCUG